rnacentral:rRNA from 1 species
GUGCCAGCCGCUGCGGUAAUACGUGGGGAGCAAGCGUUAUCCGGAUUUACUGGGUGUAAAGGGCGCGCAGGCGGACUGGCAAGUCAGAAGUGAAAUCUGGGGGCUUAACCCCAAACUGCUUUGAAACUGCUGGUCUUGAGUGAUGGAGAGGCAGGCGGAAUUCCCAGUGUAGCGGUGAAAUGCGUAGAGAUUGGGAGGAACACCAGUGGCGAAGGCGGCCUGCUGGACAUUAACUGACGCUGAGGCGCGAAAGCGUGGGAGCAAACAGGAUUAGAUACCCUGGUAAGUCCACGCCGUAAACGAUGGAUACUAGGUGUGGGAGUAUU